rnacentral:tRNA from 1 species
GCCUCUAUGGUCUAAAGGCUUAGGACGCUUGCCCAGAAAGCAAGAGAUCUGGAUUAGACUCCCGGUCGAGGUA